rnacentral:rRNA from 1 species
CCUACGGGAGGCAGCAGUGGGGAAUAUUGCACAAUGGGGGAAACCCUGAUGCAGCGACGCCGCGUGAGUGAAGAAGUAUUUCGGUACGUAAAGCUCUAUCAGCAGGGAAGAAAAUGACGGUACCUGACUAAGAAGCCCCGGCUAACUACGUGCCAGCAGCCGCGGUAAUACGUAGGGGGCAAGCGUUAUCCGGAUUUACUGGGUGUAAAGGGAGCGUAGGCGGCAGCGCAAGUCUGGAGUGAAAUCCCAUGGCUUAACCAUGGAACUGCUUUUGAAACUGUGCAGCUAGAGUGCAGGAGAGGUAAGCGGAAUUCCUAGUGUAGCGGUGAAAUGCGUAGAUAUUAGGAGGAACACCAGUGGCGAAGGCGGCUUACUGGAAUGUAACUGACGUUGAGGCUCGAAAGCGUGGGGAGCAAACAGGAUUAGAUACCCGAGUAGUC